rnacentral:lncRNA from 10 species
GCCCAGACUGGAGUGCAGUGGCGCAAUCUCGGCUCACUGCAAGCUCUGUCUUCCGGGUUCAUGCCAUUCUCCUGCCUCAGCCUCCUGAGUAGCUGGGACUACAGGCGCCCGCCAUUACGCCCGGCUAAUUUUAUUUUAUUUUAUUUUUAGUAGAGACAGGGUUUCACUGUGUUAGCCAGGAUGGUCUGUGUCUCCUGACCUCGUGAUCCACCCGCCUCGGCCUCCCAAAGUGCUGGGAUUACAAAAUGCGUGAGCCACCACGCCCGGCUGAUGGUUUUAUUAAUAUAAGGGACUUUAACCCUUUGCUCAGGACUUCUACUUGCUGCUGCCAUGUGAAGAAGGACAUAUUUGCUUCCCCUUUCACCAUGAUUGUAAGUUUCCUGAGGCCUCCCCAGCCCUGCAGAACUAAAAGCAAUUUUGUUAAUCACUUUAGCACCAAUUCUUGCAUCCCUGGCAAUACUCAGAACUGCUUCCAUCCAAGUCUUUGAUGUGGGAAAGAAACACACACACACUCUUUCGCAUGUAAUCUGAAAACAAUUCACCUCUUGCCAAUGAAUGCACAGCACUCCACUUUAAUAGAGAGCAAGUUCUGUGGAGGUUUCUAAUCCUUUCUGCCAAAGAAGAGAAGAGAGAGAAUCACUCAGGAUCCCAUCCAGAAUACAUUACCUUUAGUCAUCAUGUCUCCUGUGGCUCUUCUUGGCUGUGACAGUUUCUCAGCUUUCCCAGUUUUAAUGAACUUGCCAUUUUCAUCAGAUUGUACCAAGACCUACUAUCAAUAUGACUUAUGACUAGUGGUGCUGACCUUGAUCACCUGGCUGAGGUAGUUCUUGUCAGGCUUCUCCACUGUCGAGUUGCUCUCCCCAUCCCCCUUUUCCAUAUUGUACUCUUUGAAAGAAAGUCACUAUAUGCAGCCCUUCCUUAAAAAUAUUAAAAUGAACUAGCUUAAUUAAGUUCUUUCUUACAUUUAGGUGUAAAUACCUCUGAGGUUUUUUUCUUUUAAAAAAUGAUUAUCUAUGUAAUACAUACUCACUGCACAAGACUUUAAAAAUGCAAGAAAAGUAUAAAGCAGCAGCAAAUAGAACUACCCAUAAUUCCAUCUGUCACAAGCAACCAUUUCUAGCUUUUUGUCAUAUUUCCUUCCAGUUUUUUUUCUUCUGCAUAAAAUAACUAUUUUUAUUUCUAUUUAUUUAUUUUUUUGAGACAGAGUUUCACUCUGUCACCAGGCUGGAGUGCCGUGGCACAAUCUCGGUUCUCUACAACCUCCACCUCCCAGGUUCAAGGGAUUCUCCUGCCUCAGCCUCCUGAGUAGCUGGGACUACAGGCGUGCACCACCAUGCCCAGCUAAUUUUUGUAUUUUUAGUAGAGACGGGGUUUCACCAUGUUGGCCAGGAUGGUCUUGAUCUCUUGACCUUGUGAUCCACCCGCCUCGGCCUCCCAAAGUGCUGGGAUUACAGGCAUGAGCCAUCGCGCCUGGCCAAAAUAACUAUUUUUAAAUAGCACUUGCUUGAAAUUAUUUCAUAGGUGGUAAAAAUAUUUUAUCUUUGAAUAUGGCAAAGAAGAUGGAUUCAUAUAAAACCAGAGCAGAUCUUGGUGGUACUUCAAGAUAUAAACUACCAACCCAAUAGAUAAUUUCUGAAAAUAACAUUUUAGAGUCUCUUCCUCUAUUUUUGAGAAGCUUGAAUAUUUACAAAUACAGCAUUCACUGUGAGACUUCUUGUUUCUUUUCCUUUCUAAGACUUUUAACUUGUUGUUUAUUUUACUAUUACAUGAAACACAUUUUAUUUUAAUUUUUAAAGUUUUAGUGUUUUUUGAGACAAGGUCUCAUUCUGUUGCCCAGUUUGGAGUGCAGUGGCAUGAACAUGGCUCACUGCAGCCUCAACUUUUUGGGCUCAAGUAAUCCUCUAGCUUCAGCUUCACGAGUAGCUGGGACUACAGGUAUACACCACCACACCUACCUAAUUUAUUCUUACAGUUUUUAGAGACGGGGGUCUCGCUGUGUUGCCCAGGCUGGUCUUGAACUCCUGGGCUCAAGCAAUCUUCCUGCCUCAGCCUCCCAAAGUGCUGGGAUUACAGGGAUGAGUCACCAUACCCAGCCUUAUUUAAAUAAGGUUUGAGGAAACUUGGGUAGCUGGUUAAAACUCUGGCAAUGAUCUAGGUUUCAAAUCAUCAAAUUCCUUUUUGCAUGGUGUAUAGACUCAUGACAACUCUUAUUUUUUUAAAGACUUUAUUUUGUACAUGCUUCUUAUUAAAAAAUUAAUACAGAAAAGUACAAAGUAAAAUCCCAAAAUUCUAUCACCUAAAAAAACCAUUAUUAACAUUAUUCCACAAACCUUCCCUUUGCAUAUAUACACAGAGAGAUAAAUUUACACAAAAGGCUCACACAUACCAUACAUAGUUACUAAAUGAGGAUGAAGCAAAAUGAAGAAAUUGAAGAAAAUGAAGCUGAAACAAAAUGAAGGAAUUACCAAAUUUUAGCUAAAUGUUCUUUUGCAAGACACUUUAGUUCCUAACAAUCCCUUUGAAGUUUUGAAAAAAGAUUAUGAAAAGCAUUAAGAGUUUGAAAGUCUACAUAAUUAACUUUUUUUUUUUUUUUUUUUUGAGACAGGGUCUUGCUCUGUUGCCCAUGCUGGAGUGCCUUGGUGUGAUCAUGGCUCACUGCAGCCUUGACCUCCCAGGCUCAACUGGUCCUCCCACUUCAGCCUCCGAAGUAGCUGGGACCACAGAUGUGUGUCACCAAGCCCGGCUAAUUUUUUAAAAUUCUUUUGUAGAGACAGGAUCUUCCAGUGUUGCCCAGGCUGGUCUUGAACUCCUGGAGGCUGGUCUUGAACUCCUGGGCUCAAAAACAAUCCUCCUACCUCAGGCUUCCAAAGUGCCAGGAUUACAGGUGUGAGCCACCGUGGCUGGCUGGAAAACUCUUCUAAUAGUGGCUGGCAUGUAGUAAGUGCUUAUAGUAAAUGUAAGCCAAUGCUAUUAUAGAGGAAUAAUGGUGAGCAUCUGGGCCCACGUAUGAUAUUGAAAUCUGUCACUCACAAAAUAAUCUCUUUGUCUCUCAUUCAUCUCAGAAUAAUUUUCCUGUUAAAUCUACCAGCUCCUGAGGGGCCCUGAGGGUAUAACCAAUGAGUAUGUGGGCACCAAUGUAAUGAAUGUGUGAAUAGGUGAUUCUGUCAUCUGUUUAUAAGAAUGACCAGAAUACAAAAUUCUAGCCUUUUUACAAUCCUAAACAUAUACUAUGUGCUACCAAUAACAGCAACAAUCACCAUCAUGCAUGUCACUUACAUGUACACACUAACAUAAAGAACUUUAUAUCUCUGCUUUAAAAUCCUCUUUAAAAGUAAACUAUUAGCCUGGGUAACAUGGUGAGACCUUGUCAAUGAAAUAAAAAAAUUAGCCAGGCACCUGUAGGCCCAGCUGCUCUG